AGAGUGAACGCUGGCGGCGUGCCUAAUACAUGCAAGUCGAACGCGAAAGUCCUUCGGGAUGAGUAAAGUGGCGCACGGGUGAGUAAUGGUUGAGAACAUGCCCUGAGGUGGGGAAUAACAGUUGGAAACGACUGCUAAUACCGCAUGGUAACGCAAGUUUAAAGGUGGGGAUCGCAAGACCUACCGCCACAGGAUUGGCUCAACUCCCAUUAGCUAGUUGGUAGGUAACGCCUACCAAGGCGACGAUGGGUAACUGGUCUUAGAGGAUGAUCAGUCACACUGGAACUGAGACACGGUCCAGACUCCACGGGAGCAGCAGUAGGGAA
rnacentral:rRNA from 1 species